AACCCUCCUUCCAGUCCAAGCCCCAACCCUCCUUCCAGUCCAAGCCCCAACCCUCCUUCCAGCCCAAGCCCCAACCCUCUCUCCAGCCCCUGCCACAGCCCAAGCAUAAACCUCCCAUCCCCAGCUACCUAGCCCAGCAGAAAGGACCCCUUCCUCCAGCCAUCCUGCCCCCAAGCCCCACUCAACACCUCACACACACAGACCUGACCCCCCAACAGACCCUCACCCCCCUGCCCACUCACCAAACCCAAAAUACCAUCAGACGUGUUACAGAGAGGAAAGUCUAAUCUGGCGCCACCUGGUGGACAUAAGAAACCCAGCAGAUCCCAAAACAACAUCUCAGGGAGAAGACGAGGACCAACACUGGACAACGGCGCUCAGUGAGAUUACUGAGACAUCUAACUGGAAAUCUCUUCUCUCUCUGUGAGCUGCGUCUUUUCCCAAGGUUGUCCAAAGAGGAACAUCACCUUCAGCCUUUCUGAAGAAAAUGACACUGUAGGAAAGGAGAGAGGAGGGCCACGGCUGGACACACAGGGACUCAGUCCAAAAUGGCACCCUAAAAGUAGUGCACGAUAUUGGAAAUAGGGUUCAGUUUCAGAUCUGUCCAGGGAUGCCAUUACUAUAGAAUUAUACUAAUGCUAGCCUGGUAGCCUCUGUUUGCCAGGCUCAGUGUUUGUAUUUCAUUCCAACAACAAAGACAAAGGAGUUGCCUGAUGAACAAACAUCUCUGGCUACUAGGCUAGCUGCCAGGCUAUGUCUUGCCUUACCACUUGAAACCAGGCGUCCUGUAUACUUGUAAUAUUUAAGAAUGGACUUUAUCGACUGAUUUAGUUCUUGUAGAUGGUACCUUAUACCAUGGGUUAACAGUAUCAUGUGUUGAUAUGCUGUUUCAGGUCUAUUUAUUUGCAACGCUUCAGAGAAAAGAGACUAGUGUUUAAAGUGGAUGUACUGUAUAUUGUUUCUACAAGAGCACGAGUCUUAAGGGAACAUCUUAUGUUAAGAAAACGCCUUGUAUUGAAUGAUGCUUAAUGCUUCUAGUAUGUGAAUAAACGAUAGACUGGAAUUAUAAGGACACAAACAUGCAUGUUAUUAUUGCUACAUGUGUAUGCCUAAGAUGAAGGACAUCUCAAAUGUAGCAAUAACUAUUUGAAAAUGACAUUGUUUUGUUAUGACUGUUUUUUAAAUGUAUUUCCUGUAUAUUGCACUGUUCUUGUUGUGUUGGGUUCUAAAUUCAGGUUUUCUGACUGAAUGGAUGAAUGGAUAUUUGGACACCUGGAAGGUUUUUGUUCCUGUGUAACUACAUACAGUAUGUUAUCUUUUGAAAUGUGAUGCACAGGACAGCAGAGUCAACACAAUUAUAGUCAGGCCCAUAAAAUGAAUUUAUAUCAAAUAAUCUGGUUUUCCUUGAUUGUUGAAAUUCACCAUCCACCAUGAGACCUAUGCAAACAGUGUGCCUUCAGUUUGAUUUUAAAUAAAGUGUUUAGAAACAGGACUACGUCGUUCAGUUUGAUUUUAAAUAAAGUGUUUAGAAACAGGA